UACGGGGGGGGCAAGCGUUGUUCGGAAUUACUGGGCGUAAAGGGGACGUAGGCGGCCAACUAAGUCCGACGUGAAAUCCCAAGGCUUAACCUUGGAACUGCGUCGGAUACUGGAUGGCUUGAAUUCGGGAGAGGGAUGCAGAAUUCCAGGUGUAGCGGUGAAAUGCGUAGAUAUCUGGAGGAACACCAAUGGCGAAGGCAGCUCGCUGGGACGGUACUGACGCUAAGGCGCGAAAGCGUGGGGAGCAAACAGG
rnacentral:rRNA from 1 species